CACAGAAAGAGGAACCCAAAGGAGACCUUGCAUUUUUUGCCAUCCGUCCAUAUACACAGAUCAUACUGGCUCCACAGGUUUUCUAGAAGGAAUCAUUAAGUAGACGCAAUUUUGGCUUUGGGUUCAUCUUGCCUAGCUGCAGGUUAUCGAUAUGAGCACUACAACAGGAACCCAAGCACCCGACAUCACUCCAAGCAGUAACCUUGAAUUAAGUCUGGGCCUCCCUCUAGCCUUGGUAAUAGUGGUAGUGGUAGUGGUGAUCGCAGUGUUGUGUAUUCGGCGAUAUAGAUCUGCAAAGUGUUCUCAGCCUACAGAACAAAAGAUCACAGAGGACCCUGUUCACAAUACAGCCAAUCCACGAUAUAUUGCUUCAAUUGUGAGACCUCCAUCAACUCCGCAAGACCCUGUUUACGAGAACUUCCAAAGCAAAGGUCAAGCUCUGGCACAAGACCAACAACGCAACUCCACGAGUACACACAGCAGAGGAAACUCUCAGGUUGAAGAUGUCUACCUGGAGUGUGAUCCUCAGGAUGAUGCGAUUUACAACAACGAUCCGUCUCUCUUUCCGUCUUUCCAACAGCCUGACCGCAGCUAUGAUGAUGAGUAUGUGAUGCCGGACAUGUCAUAGGGUUUCAUUCAGUAGACGUUUUGUAAAUAAGCUGCUGCGAGUGGCAUGUACUACAAAACUGUUGGUUUUAUAUUCCAUACUGUAAAACAGGGGUUUCAAACUGAAUUCCCAGGGGGCCGCAGGUUUUUGUGGUUUCCUUUCAAUCAGCUGCCAAUUAUUGGCCUUGAGAACAAAGCGGGUGGAUACUUUAACCAAUCAAUGACUUGAAUGAACCAUGGGUGCCCAGAACAGCCCAAAAAUCAGUGGACACUGCGGCCCUCCAGGACUGGAGUUUGACACCUGUGCUGUAAAACAAUGUUCUAUAAUGUAAGAUUCCAUACUGUAUUCCAUGUUGGGUAUUGCUGUUCCAUACUUAAAAAAUGCACUUGGUUUUAGGGCCAUAUGGUGAGAAUUCUAUACACCCAGUGAGCACUUUAUUAGGUACUUAUUAGACUUAGGUUUUAGAAUUAUUGGUCUUCUGCUGCUGUGGCCUAUCCACUUAGAGGUUUGAUGUGUUGCGUGUUCAGAGGUGCUCUUCUGCAUACCGCUGUUGUAAUUCAUGGUUUUUUGCACUACUGUCACCUUCCUGUCAGCUUUGACCAGUCUGGUCCUUCUCCUAGGACUUCUCUCAUUAACAACGCAAAAUUGCUGCUCACUGGAUUUUUUUCGCAUCAUUCUCUGCAAACUCUAGAGACUGCUGUACGUGAAAAUCCCAGGUGAUCAGCAGUUUCUGAGAUACUCAAACCACCCACUCUGACCAACAAUCAUUCCAUGGUCACUUAGAUCACAUUUCUUCCCCAUUCAGACUUUUCUUCCGAACAACAGCUGAACCUCUUGACCAAUGUCUGCAUGCUUUUACGCAUUUAGUUGCUGCCACAUGAUUGGCUGAUUAAAUAUGUGCAUUAACAAGCUGGUGUACAGGCCUACCUAAUAAAUUGCUCACUGAGUGUAUCUGUGGUGGUGUAGCUUAGGUUUGAUGUUUUUUGUUUGUUUUAAAGUCAGAGAAUUAGACCUUGUUGCUUAAAAGUUGGUUUCUUCAGUUUAAAGUUUGUACAUCUCAUUAUUUCCAGCUACUGAAAGUUGGAAAGUUGGAAAUAAUUAAGUCUUUAAUUUCCUGUGCCACCAGCAGGUGUAUUACAGGUUACUGGAUAACCCAUGUUGUAUCUGUCUAUCAGCACUAUAACAGAAAAUGGCAGUUAUACUGUAUGUUUAUUGGAAUGAAACUUGUGUCGCGACUAGCUUUCUUACAUGGAAGAAAUGGUAUCCGGACUGUGAAAUGCCAAGGAUGUCAUAUUUUAUGCAUUACCAAGUGCCUCUCUACUUUCCAAUUUUGUAAAAAAUAUUUAACCACUUAAUAAGUCAUUCAAUUAAUUAAACAAACUCACACUGAAGCUA